rnacentral:rRNA from 1 species
UACGUAGGGUCCGAGCGUUGUCCGGAAUUAUUGGGCGUAAAGAGCUCGUAGGCGGUUUGUCACGUCUGCUGUGAAAUCCCGAGGCUCAACCUCGGGCCUGCAGUGGGUACGGGCAGACUGGAGUGCGGUAGGGGAGAUUGGAAUUCCUGGUGUAGCGGUGAAAUGCGCAGAUAUCGGGAGGAACACCGGUGGCGAAGGCGACUUACUGGACACAUAUUGACGCUGAUGUGCGAAAGCGUGGGGAGCAAACAGG